rnacentral:rRNA from 1 species
GGUGUGGUUCAUGACUGGGGUGAAGUCGUAACAAGGUAGCCCUAGGGGAACCUGGGGCUGGAUCACCUCCUUACAAAAAAG